rnacentral:rRNA from 1 species
CUAGCCGUAAACGAUGGAUACUAGGCGUUGUGAGUAUCGACCCUCACAGUGUCGUAACUAACGCGUUAAGUAUCCCGCCUGGGGAGUACGCGCGCAAGCGUGAAACUCAAAGGAAUUGACGGGGGCCCGCACAAGCGGUGGAGUAUGUGGUUUAAUUCGAUGCAACGCGAAGAACCUUACCAGGACUUGACAUGUCGCGAAUCUCAGGGAAACUUGAGAGUGCCUUCGGGAGCGCGAACACAGGUGGUGC